rnacentral:rRNA from 1 species
GAUGAACGCUGGCGGCGUGCCUAAUACAUGCAAGUCGAGCGGGCCGAGGACGGGUGAGGAACACGAGGAUAACCUCCUAUAAGGAUGGGAUAAGUUAGGGAACACGGAGACAAACCGGACACUAAUAGAUGGAUCCGCGCUGCAUUGGCUAGUUGGUAAGGUAACGGCUUACCAAGGCAACGAUGCAUAGCUGACCUGAGAGGUUGAUCAGCCACACUGGAACUGAGACACGGUCCAGACUCCUACGGGAGGCAGCAGUGGGGAAUCUUCCGCAAUGGGCGAAAGCCUGACUGAGCAAUGCCGCGUGAGUGAUGAAGGUCUUCGGAUUGUAAAACUCUUUUAGUUGGGAAGCGUUACCUACUGAAAAAGCCACGGCUAACUACGUGCCAGCAGCCGCGGUAAUUC